ACCGCCCACCCUCCGCCCUCCACCUUGCGACGGCGGUUCCCCACCCCACCCCCCACCCUCACGCGCAACCCCCGGCGAUCCCCUCUCCCGAUUCCCAACGACGGUUCCAGCUUCCAGCAAUCCCACACGCCGGCCCACCCGAAAUCCCGCGCGAGCAGUUCAGCUCCUCCCUCGCUCGCGGUUCCGUGUGCGGCCUCCGCCGCCCUUCGCCAUCGGCACGCGCGCAGGCGAGGUGGAGGCAGAUCCGACUUCCGAGCCAGGGACUCCGUCCCGCGACCCUGCCGGCCGUCGGGCGUCGGUCGCCGGCCGCCGGUUCGCCUGCCGUCGCCCCGCCCCCAGGCCUGCCCUGCUCCCUAGGCCGGCUCGCUCCCCACCUGCGGGGACCAGUCCCCGAACGGGCACCCCAGCGCCAAGCAGCGGCGCGCGCACCGCAAUCACUGCGGCAAGCCAACGUCCGCCGCCGCGGAGGAUGAGGGCGCCGGGGAGCACGAAGGCAGCGAGCUGCUUUCAGGGGAGGGUCGCUGUGGAGUAGGAGAGGGAAUUUGAGCGAGCGCGGCGGAAUGCUACGGCAGUUUGCCUGGAUCUGCGACGGAGGCUGCGAGCGCAGUGGAUGGAGGGGACAAUGCAGGUGAUUCUUCGCGCGUUGCUGUGGGAUUCGAGGUAUGAGAGGAAGAUUAUUUUAACUAAAUAGAAGAUUAAUGAAACAAAAGACAAAGGAGCACUCGUGAAGCAUGAGAGGAACAUCAUAUGCACCUUUAAAGGUGUAACUAAUUAGCAUGUGAAAUCAUACAUGACAAACUGAUGAGAACGCGCUCCCUUCGGUGUUCCUCCAUGAUUAAUCCGGAGAUGACAGAUCCAGUGACAACACCGGGUUGGCCGCCGGUGAGCUCCCUCGAUCUCCAAUAUGUCGUCGCCUUGAGCUCAUCUUUGAUUUGUGGUGCCGAACAGGUCUCUGCUUUAUUCUGCACUGCUGGCGAUGGCGUGCAAGAUGACAUGGAGGGAAGGAGAGGAUGGAGUGUGCACAUGACACUACUGCUAAUGCGGCAGCGUGAUUUAUGGUUUGCGAAAGCAUUUUUUCUGAUAAAAAAUCAACACACAGAUCAGUCAUCUGAAAAA